rnacentral:other from 1 species
CCAAUCCUGAUGUGUGCGUUGUUCGAAUGUACGUUUUGACCGAACAUUUUUGAAACGGGAGCCUGGAGUUUCCUCAUGGAAUGCAAGCCUUAUUACUGAGGACGCAAGAAGUGAGGAGCAGGGCACCCACCUGCCUGGAGCGGGUUCAAAACUCAUGAUACGACGGCACAAUUGGGAUUGGA